GACGAACGCUGGCGGCGUGCUUAACACACGCAAGUCGAACGGAAAGGCCCUGCUUUUGUGGGGUGCUCGAGUGGCGAACGGGUGAGUAACUCGUGAGUAACCUGCCCUUGACUUUGGGAUAACUUCAGGAAACUGGGGCUAAUACCGGAUAGGAGCUCCUGCUGCAUGGUGGGGGUUGGAAAGUUUCGGCGGUUGGGGAUGGACUCGCGGCUUAUCAGCUUGUUGGUGGGGUAGUGGCUUACCAAGGCUUUGACGGGUAGCCGGCCUGAGAGGGUGACCGGCCACAUUGGGACUGAGAUACGGCCCAGACUCCUACGGGAGGCAGCAGUGGGGAAUAUUGCACAAUGGGCGGAAGCCUGAUGCAGCAACGCCGCGUGCGGGAUGACGGCCUUCGGGUUGUAAACCGCUUUCGCCUGUGACGAAGCGUGAGUGACGGUAAUGGGUAAAGAAGCACCGGCUAACUACGUGCCAGCAGCCGCGGUGAUACGUAGGGUGCGAGCGUUGUCCGGAUUUAUUGGGCGUAAAGGGCUCGUAGGUGGUUGAUCGCGUCGGAAGUGUAAUCUUGGGGCUUAACCCUGAGCGUGCUUUCGAUACGGGUUGACUUGAGGAAGGUAGGGGAGAAUGGAAUUCCUGGUGGAGCGGUGGAAUGCGCAGAUAUCAGGAGGAACACCAGUGGCGAAGGCGGUUCUCUGGGCCUUUCCUGACGCUGAGGAGCGAAAGCGUGGGGAGCGAACAGGCUUAGAUACCCUGGCAGUCCACGCUGUAAACGGUGGGUACUAGGUGUGGGGUCCAUUCCACGGGUUCCGUGCCGUAGCUAACGCUUUAAGUACCCCGCCUGGGGAGUACGGCCGCAAGGCUAAAACUCAAAGGAAUUGACGGGGCCCCGCACAAGCGGCGGAGCAUGCGGAUUAAUUCGAUGCAACGCGUAGAACCUUACCUGGGUUUGACAUGGAUCGGGAGUGCUCAGAGAUGGGUGUGCCUCCUUUGGGGUCGGUUCACAGGUGGUGCAUGGCUGUCGUCAGCUCGUGUCGUGAGAUGUUGGGUUAAGUCCCGCAACGAGCGCAACCCUUGUUCACUGUUGCCAGCACGUUAUGGUGGGGACUCAGUGGAGACCGCCGGGGUUAACUCGGAGGAAGGUGGGGAUGACGUCAAGUCAUCAUGCCCCUUAUGUCCAGGGCUUCACGCAUGCUACAAUGGCUGGUACAGAGAGUGGCGAGCCUGUGAGGGUGAGCGAAUCUCGGAAAGCCGGUCUCAGUUCGGAUUGGGGUCUGCAACUCGACCUCAUGAAGUCGGAGUCGCUAGUAAUCGCAGAUCAGCAACGCUGUGGUGAAUACGUUCCCGGGGCU
rnacentral:rRNA from 1 species